rnacentral:rRNA from 1 species
ACUGUAGGCCUGGAUACCUCUCGUCGCAAGGCGGAUGCGUGGCUUGCUGUCGCUUUCGAAAGAAGGCCGGCUUGCCAUAAAUUUCCAGGUCUAUGAUUUCUUACACACCCCAAACUGAAUGUUAUGGAAUGUCAUCUCAAGGCCUUGUGCCUAUAAACCUAUACAACUUUCAGCAACGGAUCUCUUGGCUCUCGCAUCGAUGAAGAACGCAGCGAAAUGCGAUAAGUAAUGUGAAUUGCAGAAUUCAGUGAAUCAUCGAAUCUUUGAACGCACCUUGCGCUCCUUGGUAUUCCGAGGAGCAUGCCUGUUUGAGUGUCAUUAAAUUCUCAACCUCACCAACUUUGUUGUGUGCAGGCUUGGAUGUGGGGGUUGCAGGUCCACUCUCGUGGUCUGCUCCUCUGAAAUGUAUUAGUGGGUUGUGCCCCUAAUCUAUUGGUGUGAUAAUUAUCUACGCCGUGGAUUGGGUUGGUUACUUGAAGACCUGCUUCUAACCGUCCCUUGGACAACUUUUGACAAUUUUGACCUCAAAUCAGGCAAGACUACCCGCUG